rnacentral:rRNA from 1 species
UACGAAGGGGGCUAGCGUUGUCGAUUUACUGGGCGUAAAGCGCACGUAGGCGGGUUCUUAAGUCGGAGGUGAAAUCCUGGAGCUCAACUCCAGAACUGCCUUGAUACUGAAGAUCUUGAGUCGGGAGAGGUGAGUGGAACUGCGAGUGUAGAGGUGAAAUUCGUAGAUAUUCGCAAGAACACCAGUGGCGAAGGCGGCUCACUGGCC